CCCAAAUGACCAAGGACAGCAUCUGCAAUGAUUUAACUCAUGAAUGGCAUUGUGUCUCAGGACUCUUUUGAUCACUGAAAACAAUCUCGGACACCUGUGAUAAUUAGAUUGGCAGGUGAGCCCAAUUUGAGGAAAAACUACUAAAGGGUACUCUACUGACCAGAAGGUUCACCUGAUAUCUUGAUAAUUCACGUAGAGCAACAGAAUUGCUGAAUGUAAAGGUAACACUGUUGUAUAGUGUAACAACAUAUAUUGAGUUC